rnacentral:rRNA from 1 species
AAAACUUUCAACAACGGAUCUCUUGGUUCUCGCAUCGAUGAAGAACGUAGCGAAUUGCGAUAAGUAAUGUGAAUUGCAGAUACUCGUGAAUCAUUGAAUUUUUGAACGCACAUUGCGCCCUUGAGCAUUCUCAGGGGCAUGCCUGUUUGAGCGUCAUU